UUUGUCUCACGUAGUAUUUGUUUAAGUUUUCUCAUACAGGUGUAGAAUACCUACCGGAGUUUGAGCAUGACAGAUACUCCAUGAUCACUGUAUUCAAGAGGUGCUCGAGGAGCCAUUUUAUAUUUUUGAGUCAAUUGUUCAUGUUUUACUUUCUUGUCCCGUAUAGUAGUACUUAGUCUUUUAGGUGAUGUUAGAGCUUGUAAU
rnacentral:lncRNA from 1 species